GUGACUUGUCCAGGUCACACACUGCAUAGAAGCUCAGAGCUCUUCGCUUACGAUUUUCUCAUCUCCCUGGCUCAAGCCUAGUUGCUAGUGUGCAUUUCUGGUGCUCAAGAUGGCAAGAUUAGGCUUACACCGUGAGUGCACAGAAAGGUAACCUUGAGACUCUCCCAUGUGGAUUCACGUGUGUGAAGAGCAUGCUGCUUCCCUUCCUUGCGUGGAAAUACCAUGAUCAUUAAAAAUAUUGAAGACAUCAAACAAGCCUUUCGAACAGAGCCCGGGGAGGACAGGCUGGCA
rnacentral:lncRNA from 1 species